AACGAACGCUGGCGGCAUGCCUAACACAUGCAAGUCGAACGAGGGCUUCGGCCCUAGUGGCGCACGGGUGAGUAACGCGUGGGAACCUGCCCUGUGGUACGGAAUAACUCCGGGAAACUGGAGCUAAUACCGUAUGCGUCUUGAGGGACAAAGAUUUAUCGCCAUGGGAUGGGCCCGCGUAGGAUUAGCUUGUUGGUGGGGUAACGGCCUACCAAGGCAACGAUCCUUAGCUGGUCUGAGAGGAUGAUCAGCCACACUGGGACUGAGACACGGCCCAGACUCCUACGGGAGGCAGCAGUGGGGAAUAUUGGACAAUGGGCGCAAGCCUGAUCCAGCAAUGCCGCGUGAGUGAUGAAGGCCUUCGGGUUGUAAAGCUCUUUCGCACGCGACGAUGAUGACGGUAGCGUGAGAAGAAGCCCCGGCUAACUUCGUGCCAGCAGCCGCGGUAAUACGAAGGGGGCUAGCGUUGUUCGGAAUUACUGGGCGUAAAGGGCGCGUAGGCGGUACUUCAAGUCAGGCGUGAAAGCCCCGGGCUCAACCUGGGAACCGCGCUUGAGACUGGAGAACUAGAGUUCGGGAGAGGAUGGUGGAAUUCCCAGUGUAGAGGUGAAAUUCGUAGAUAUUGGGAAGAACACCGAUGGCGAAGGCAGCCAUCUGGACCGACACUGACGCUGAGGCGCGAAAGCGUGGGGAG
rnacentral:rRNA from 1 species